GAUGAACGCUAGCUACAGGCUUAACACAUGCAAGUCGAGGGGAAACGCCAUCGAAAGCUUGCUUUUGAUGGGCGUCGACCGGCGCACGGGUGAGUAACGCGUAUCCAACCUGCCCAUCACUUGGGAAUAACCUUGCGAAAGUAAGACUAAUACCCAAUGACGUCCCACGAAGACAUCUGAAUGGGAUUAAAGAUUUAUCGGUGAUGGAUGGGGAUGCGUCUGAUUAGCUUGUUGGCGGGGUAACGGCCCACCAAGGCAACGAUCAGUAGGGGUUCUGAGAGGAAGGUCCCCCACAUUGGAACUGAGACACGGUCCAAACUCCUACGGGAGGCAGCAGUGAGGAAUAUUGGUCAAUGGGCGAGAGCCUGAACCAGCCAAGUAGCGUGCAGGAUGACGGCCCUAUGGGUUGUAAACUGCUUUUAUAAGGGAAUAAAGUGGGUCUCGUGAGACUUUUUGCAUGUACCUUAUGAAUAAGGACCGGCUAAUUCCGUG
rnacentral:rRNA from 1 species